GACGAACGCUGGCGGCGUGCCUAAUACAUGCAAGUCGAGCGGACAGAUAAGGAGCUUGCUCCUUUGAAGUCAGCGGCGGACGGGUGAGUAACACGUGGGCAACCUGCCUAUAAGACUGGGAUAACUCCGGGAAACCGGGGCUAAUACCGGAUAGAUUCUUUCCUCUCAUGAGGAAAGAAGGAAAGACGGUUUCGGCUGUCACUUAUAGAUGGGCCCGCGGCGCAUUAGCUAGUUGGUAAGGUAACGGCUUACCAAGGGGACGAUGCGUAGCCGACCUGAGAGGGUGAUCGGCCACACUGGGACUGAGACACGGCCCAGACUCCUACGGGAGGCAGCAGUAGGGAAUCUUCCGCAAUGGACGAAAGUCUGACGGAGCAACGCCGCGUGAACGAAGAAGGCCUUCGGGUCGUAAAGUUCUGUUGUUAGGGAAGAACAAGUACGAUAGUAACUGAUCGUACCUUGACGGUACCUAACCAGAAAGCCACGGCUAACUACGUGCCAGCAGCCGCCGUAACAC
rnacentral:rRNA from 1 species